AAAUUGAAGAGUUUGAUCAUGGCUCAGAUUGAACGCUGGCGGCAGGCCUAACACAUGCAAGUCGAACGGUAACAGGAAGAAGCUUGCUUCUUUGCUGACGAGUGGCGGACGGGUGAGUAAUGUCUGGGAAACUGCCUGAUGGAGGGGGAUAACUACUGGAAACGGUAGCUAAUACCGCAUAACGUCGCAAGACCAAAGAGGGGGACCUUCGGGCCUCUUGCCAUCGGAUGUGCCCAGAUGGGAUUAGCUUGUUGGUGGGGUAACGGCUCACCAAGGCGACGAUCCCUAGCUGGUCUGAGAGGAUGACCAGCCACACUGGAACUGAGACACGGUCCAGACUCCUACGGGAGGCAGCAGUGGGGAAUAUUGCACAAUGGGCGCAAGCCUGAUGCAGCCAUGC
rnacentral:rRNA from 1 species